ensembl:snoRNA SNORA70 Small nucleolar RNA SNORA70
AUGAAAGAUAACAUGUGCACCUUGCUCUUCUCCUUGUCGGGUGGGUGUGCAGUGCCUGCAAACAGCAGGCUGCUUGGUCUCACCUGCAGCCUGUUGCUUGUAUGGAUGGCCCUAAGGGAGCCCGGCUUUGACC